rnacentral:rRNA from 1 species
GACGAACGCUGGCGGCGUGCUUAACACAUGCAAGUCGAACGAUGAAGCCGGAGCUUGCUCUGGUGAAUUAGUGGCGAACGGGUGAGUAACACGUGAGUAACCUGCCCUUGACUCUGGGAUAACUGCUAGAAAUGGUAGCUAAUACCGGAUAUGACCCUCGGAGGCAUCUCCAGGGGGUGGAAAGAAUUUCGGUCAAGGAUGGACUCGCGGCCUAUCAGCUAGUUGGUGAGGUAACGGCUCACCAAGGCGACGACGGGUAGCCGGCCUGAGAGGGUGACCGGCCACACUGGGACUGAGACACGGCCCAGACUCCUACGGGAGGCAGCAGUGGGGAAUAUUGCACAAUGGGCGCAAGCCUGAUGCAGCAGCGCCGCGUGAGGGAUGACGGCCUUCGGGUUGUAAACCUCUUUUAGUAGGGAAGAAGCGAAAGUGACGGUACCCGCAGAAAAAGCACCGGCUAACUACGUGCCAGCAGCCGCCGUAA